GGCGUGCUUAACACAUGCAAGUCGAGCGGUAAGGCCCCUUCGGGGGUACACGAGCGGCGAACGGGUGAGUAACACGUGAGCAACCUACCCUCAACUUUGGGAUAAGCCUCGGAAACGGGGUCUAAUACCGGAUAAUACUACGAGCCUCAUGGUUUGUGGUUGAAAGUUCUGGCGGUUGGGGAUGGGCUCGCGGCCUAUCAGCUUGUUGGUGGGGUAAUGGCCUACCAAGGCGUCGACGGGUAGCCGGCCUGAGAGGGCGACCGGCCACACUGGGACUGAGACACGGCCCAGACUCCUACGGGAGGCAGCAGUGGGGAAUAUUGCGCAAUGGACGAAAGUCUGACGCAGCAACGCCGCGUGAGGGAUGACGGCCUUCGGGUUGUAAACCUCUUUCAGCAGGGACGAAGCGAGAGUGACGGUACCUGCAGAAGAAGGACCGGCCAACUACGUGCCAGCAGCCGCGGUAAUACGUAGGGUCCGAGCGUUGUCCGGAAUUAUUGGGCGUAAAGGGCUCGUAGGCGGUUCGUCACGUCGGGAGUGAAAACUCGGGGCUUAACCCCGAGCCUGCUUCCGAUACGGGCAGACUAGAGGUAGGCAGGGGAGAGCGGAACUCCUGGUGUAGCGGUGGAAUGCGCAGAUAUCAGGAAGAACACCGGUGGCGAAGGCGGCUCUCUGGGCCUUACCUGACGCUGAGGAGCGAAAGCGUGGGUAGCGAACAGGAUUAGAUACCCUGGUAGUCCACGCCGUAAACGUUGGGCGCUAGGUGUGGGGGACAUUCCACGUCCUCCGUGCCGCAGCUAACGCAUUAAGCGCCCCGCCUGGGGAGUACGGCCGCAAGGCUAAAACUCAAAGGAAUUGACGGGGGCCCGCACAAGCGGCGGAGCAUGCGGAUUAAUUCGAUGCAACGCGAAGAACCUUACCUGGGUUUGACAUAUAGGGAAAUCUCGCAGAGAUGCGGGGUCCGUAAGGGUCCUAUACAGGUGGUGCAUGGCUGUCGUCAGCUCGUGUCGUGAGAUGUUGGGUUAAGUCCCGCAACGAGCGCAACCCUCGUCCUAUGUUGCCAGCACGUCCUUCGGGAUGGUGGGGACUCAUAGGAGACUGCCGGGGUCAACUCGGAGGAAGGUGGGGAUGACGUCAAGUCAUCAUGCCCCUUAUGUCCAGGGCUUCACGCAUGCUACAAUGGCCGGUACAAAGGGCUGCGAAACUGUAAGGUGGAGCGAAUCCCAAAAAGCCGGUCUCAGUUCGGAUUGGGGUCUGCAACUCGACCCCAUGAAGUCGGAGUCGCUAGUAAUCGCAGAUCAGCAACGCUGCGGUGAAUACGUUCCCGGGCCUUGUACACACCGCCCGUCACGUCAUGAAAGUCGGCAACACCCGAAGCCGGUGGCCUAACCCUUGUGGAGGGAGCCGUGCAA
rnacentral:rRNA from 1 species